AGUGGGGAAUAUUGGACAAUGGGCGCAAGCCUGAUCCAGCAAUGCCGCGUGUGUGAAGAAGGCCUUCGGGUUGUAAAGCACUUUUAUCAGGAACGAAAUACCACGGGUUAAUAACCUAGGGGGCUGACGGUACCUGAGGAAUAAGCACCGGCUAACUUCGUGCCAGCAGCCGCGGUAAUACGAAGGGUGCAAGCGUUAAUCGGAAUUACUGGGCGUAAAGGGUGCGUAGGCGGUUCGUUAAGUCUGUCGUGAAAUCCCCGGGCUCAACCUGGGAAUGGCGAUGGAUACUGGCGAGCUAGAGUGUGUCAGAGGAUGGUGGAAUUCCCGGUGUAGCGGUGAAAUGCGUAGAGAUCGGGAGGAACAUCAGUGGCGAAGGCGGCCAUCUGGGACAACACUGACGCUGAAGCACGAAAGCGUGGGGAGCAAACAGGAUUAGAUACCCUGGUAGUCCACGCCCUAAACGAUGCGAACUGGAUGUUGGUCUUAACUCGGAGAUCAGUGUCGAAGCUAACGCGUUAAGUUCGCCGCCUGGGGAGUACGGUCGCAAGACUGAAACUCAAAG
rnacentral:rRNA from 2 species